GGAUUAGAUACCCGGGUAGUCCACGCCGUAAACGAUGGAUACUAGCUGUUCGGGGUAACCUGAGUGGCUAAGCGAAAGUGAUAAGUAUCCCACCUGGGGAGUACGUUCGCAAGAAUGAAACUCAAAGGAAUUGACGGGGGCCCGCACAAGCGGUGGAGCAUGUGGUUUAAUUCGAUGAUACGCGAGGAACCUUACCAGGGCUUAAAUGUGGCCUGACAGGACCGGAAACGGUUUUUCCUUCGGGCAGGUCACAAGGUGCUGCAUGGUUGUCGUCAGCUCGUGCCGUGAGGUGUCAGGUUAAGUCCUAUAACGAGCGCAACCCCUGUCGUUAGUUGCCAGCGAGUCAUGUCGGGAACUCUAACGAGACUGCCAGUGCAAACUGAGAGGAAGGUGG
rnacentral:rRNA from 1 species